GCGUCGGUAGUGCAACGGUUCAGCUCGCGCUCCUGGAAAGAGUGAGAUCUGGGUUGGAACCCCGACUGACGCA